UACGGGGGGGAGCAAGCGUUGUUCGGAUUUACUGGCGUAAAGGGCGCGUAGGCGGUCAGCACAAGUCAGUUGUGAAAUCUCCGGGCUUAACUCGGAAAGGUCAACUGAUACUGUGCGACUAGAGUGCGGAAGGGGCAACUGGAAUUCUCGGUGUAGCGGUGAAAUGACGUAGAUAUCGAGAGGAACACCUGCGGCGAAGGCGGGUUGCUGGGCCGACACUGACGCUGAUGCGCGAAAGCCAGGGAGCGAAGCGGG
rnacentral:rRNA from 1 species